AUUUUUAAUUCUAACCUUAAACACCAAAAUACUAAGAGCUAUAUCCUUCAAAAUUAAAGGAUUUGGCGGUGAUUUAGUCCAGUUAGAGGAACCUGUUUGGUAAACGAUAAACCACGAAAAAUCUUACCUAUUCCUAUAGUUUGUAUACCGUCAUUAUUAGAUGACUUUUAGUGAAAAAGUCAUUCCAAUAAAUUAUUUUUAAUAUAUUAGAUCAAGGUGCAGCCCAUGAAUAGGUCAUAAUGGGUUACAAUAAUACUUACUUAGUACGAAUACAAAUUGGAAUCAAUUUAUUGAAGGAGGAUUUAAUAGUAAAAUUGGUUUAAUAAGCCAAUUUGAUAGAGGACCUAAAUUGAGUACAUAUCGCCCGUCGCUUUCAUCUCACAAAUGAAAUAAGUCGUAACAUAG
rnacentral:rRNA from 1 species